AAUGCCACCGGGAAUGAGGACAGGAACCAGAAAUGCCACCGGGAAUGGGGACAAGGGCCGAGAAGGGGGACGGGAAUGAGACCAGAGAUGGGGACAGGGUCUGCAAAUGGAGACAAGGAUCAAGGAAGAGAAUAUGGGAACGGGACAGGGAACAUGGAAACAGCAACCGCAGAGAGAACAUGGGCUGGGGAUUGGUGCUCCAAAGUGUCCCAGUGAAAGCCAGCAGGGGCUGUGAGCUCUGCAGCUGGGCCUCCCCUGCGCUGCUGCGGCCCAGGGCCCAAAGGCGGGAGCUGCAGCCUCACUCCUGUCUCACGAACAGGAGCCUCCUCCAGGCCCAUGGCCCCUGCAUGGCCCCAGCGUGAGGGAGGGCUCUGAGGCACAGCAGCUGCUGGCAGGAGGGGCUGCUCCGGCCAGCUGGGGGCCUCUGAGAAAUGCCCAAAGCCUUGUGCUCUCUGCAGCUGCCCAAGGACAGCAGCGGGGCUGAACGGUUCGUGUGGCACAGCCAGCCCAAGCUGUGCAGCCCUCAGGAAUGGGACCAGGACAGGACCGGGAAUGGGGACAGGGCCAGGAAUGGGGACAGUGACUGGAAAUAGAACCAGGAAUGAGACUGGAAAUAGGAGAUAGGGACAGGGACCAGAACAAGGACCAGGAUAUUGGGACUGCAACCAGAAAUGGGAACAGGGACAGGAAUGGGGACAGGGACUGGGAUGUGAUUGAGAAAAUGGGAGAGGGACCUGGAAUGGGACUGGGGACGAGAAUAUUGGAAUGGGACAGGGAAUAUGGAAACAGGAACCAGACAGAAUAUGGGACGGGGAUUAAGAAGAUGGUAUUGGGAUUGGGAACAGGAAUACAGGAGUGAGAGUGGGAAUGGGAAUAUGGGAGUGAGAGAAGAAAUACAGAAAUAGAAAUGCAGGACCAGUAGUAGGAUCGGGAAUACGGGAACAGGACAGGGAUUAUGGGAUUUGGAAUAUGGGAACGGCAAUGUAAGGUUGACCCAGGGCCUUUGUGGGGUCUGGUUCGGCGG
rnacentral:lncRNA from 1 species